rnacentral:rRNA from 1 species
CACGUAGGGGGCAAGCGUUGUCCGGAUUUAUUGGGCGUAAAGAGCUCGUAGGUGGUUCGAUAAGUCGGGGUGUGAAACCUCCAGGCUCAACCUGGAGACGCCACCCGAUACUGUCGUGACUAGAGUCCAGUAGGGGAGCGUGGAAUUCCUGGUGUAGCGGUGAAAUGACGCAGAUAUCAGGAGGAACACCAGCGGCGAAGGCGGCGCUCUGGGCUGGCACUGACACUGAGGAGCGAAAGCGUGGGGAGCGAACAGG